UACAGAGGGGGCAAGCGUUGUUCGGAAUUACUGGGCGUAAAGGGCGCGUAGGCGGCCGCCUAAGUCAGACGUGAAAUCCCUCAGCUUAACUGGGGAACUGCGUCUGAUACUGGCGAGCUUGAGUGCAGGAGAGGAACGCGGAAUUCCAGGUGUAGCGGUGAAAUGCGUAGAUAUCUGGAGGAACACCGGUGGCGAAGGCGGCGUUCUGGACUGCAACUGACACUGAGAAACGAAAGCCAGGGUAGCAAACGGG
rnacentral:rRNA from 1 species